GGGGGCCCUUCGGGUUGUAAACCGCUUUUGUCAGGGAAGAAACGCUCUGGGCUAAUACCUUGGGCUAAUGACGGUACCUGAAGAAUAAGCACCGGCUAACUACGUGCCAGCAGCCGCGGUAAUACGUAGGGUGCAAGCGUUAAUCGGAAUUACUGGGCGUAAAGCGUGCGCAGGCGGCUUUGUAAGACAGAUGUGAAAUCCCCGGGCUCAACCUGGGAACUGCCUUUGUGACUGCAAGGCUUGAGUGCGGCAGAGGGGGAUGGAAUUCCGCGUGUAGCAGUGAAAUGCGUAGAUAUGCGGAGGAACACCGAUGGCGAAGGCAAUCCCCUGGGCCUGNACUGACGCUCAUGCACGAAAGCGUGGGGAGCAAACAGGAUUAGAUACCCUGGUAGUCCACGCCCUAAACGAUGUCAACUGGUUGUUGGGAAGGUUCCUUCUCAGUAACGUAGCUAACGCGUGAAGUUGACCGCCUGGGGAGUACGGCCGCAAGGUUGAAACUCAAAGGAUUUGACGG
rnacentral:rRNA from 1 species